CAAUAGCGUAUAUUAAAGUUGUUGCAGUUAAAAAGCUCGUAGUUGGAUUUGUGGCGUACGGUGUGUUCCGGGCACUUGUUGUCUGAGUAACCUGCUGCUGCCAUCCUUGGGUGGAACCUGUGUGACAUUAGGUUGUCGUGCAGGGGAUGCCCAUCAUUUACUGUGAAAAAAUUAGAGUGUUCAAAGCAGGCUUAUGCCGUUGAAUAUAUUAGCAUGGAAUAAUGAGAUAGGACUUUUUUGCUAUUUUGUUGGUUUGCGCAAAGAGGUAAUAAUUAAUAGGGACAGUUGGGGGUAUUCGUAAUCCAUUGUCAGAGGUGAAAUUCUUGGAUUUUUGGAAGACGAACUACUGCGAAAGCAUUUACCAAGGAUGUUUUCAUUAA
rnacentral:rRNA from 1 species